GUCACUUGUUAAACCUUAGCUUCAGACUCAGAGCCGCUUUUGUUUUUCAGUUGAAUCGGCAGCCCCGGACACACACAUACCCCACCACACACCCACACACAAGCACGCGCGCGCACAUGCGCAGCCAACCAGGCUUAGUUCUUAAGUGGGAGAACAUAUUGUUUGUCAUAAUUAAUGUCACAUUCCUGAACCUGGCCUUUCUCUGCCACCCUAGGGGCUGAUGGUCUCUGUCUGGGAAGCCCUGUAUGCUAUCAGUUAGGGCGGGAGGUUGGGGAAGAAUUCAGAUCCGACCAAAGGAACAAGGCAGGAAUUCAUCCUCCUGUGACUGAAGGGACGUCCACAACCCAAACAGGGCCCCACUAUUCCAGCCAGGGCGGCAGAGCCUCUCCUUGUCCUCCCACCCAGGGUUGGAGAUUUAAGUCUCCAUACGUCUCAAUUCACUUCUUAACCCCAGUGGUUCUCAACCAUGGCUGCAUGUUAGACUCACUCAGGGAGCUUAAAAAAUUUCUGAUGCUCAGGUCAAAAACCAGACCAAUUAACUCAGAACCUUUGAGGCCUUUACUCUUUGACCAGGUAGAUUUAUGAUUUACAGGCUCAGAUGGAGCCAUACGCUCCGUCCAGCAGUCCUUCAGUACUCUGGGGUCCACAGCCCCAACAGUUUCCAGGCCCAAGAACAGUGAUUGGACACCCCCACUGCUCUCUGGGCCCCCUCUGUCCUUCCUCAGUCAGUGUGGUUGAGAAAGUGCAGGGAAAGGAACACUCCUUUUCUCCCACUUCAGAGAAAGCUAGCAGCGUCCCCACCACUGCUGGCCACACACCCUGUGACCUCUGUGCUUUGCUCCGUAUGCUUUUUCCUCUGUCUCAUUCUCAAAUGUUUAGUCUGUUUGUUGGUCUUUUCUUCUUCAGCUUAUGAACAUCCUUGUGUCACUACCACCUAAAAAACCCAAAUCCUUAUCUCCAUUCUGUCUCCCCUUCAACUUAGUACCUACCUCUUAGCUUAGUGGCUUCUUCUUCUUCUUUUUUUUUUUUUUUGAGACAAGGUCUCGCUCUGUCGCCCAGGCUGGAGGGCAGUGGCGCAAUCACGGUUCACUGCAGCCUCGAACUCCCAGGCUAAAGCAAUCCUUCCACCUCAGCCCCUGGAGUAGCUGGGACUACAGGCGCCAGCCACCACACUGAGCUAAUUUCAUUUCUUUUCUUUUCUUUUCUUUUUUUUUUUUUGAGAUGGAGUCUCACUCUUUCACCCAGGAUGGAGUGCAGUGGUGCAAUAAUUUUUGUAUUUUUGUAUUUUUAGUAGAGAUGGAUUUUUACUGUGUUGGUCAGGCUGGUUUUGAACUCUUGACCUCAAGUGAUCCGCCUGUCUCGGCCUCCCAAAAUGCUGAGAUUACAGGCAUGAGCCACCGCACCCAGCCUCACUCAGCUAAUUUUUGUAUUUUUUGUAAGAGACAGGAUUUCAGCAUGUUGCCUACACUGGUCUUGAACUCCUGGGCUCCAGUGAUCCUCAUGCCUUGGCUUCCCAGAGUGCCGGGAUUGUGGGUGUGAACCACCGCCUGGCCCUGCUAAGCUUCUUGAAGGAGUAGCCCAGAGGCAGUCUGCAUAUUGUCACCUCUCCUCAACCAUCACAGGCGGCUUUCGCCCCAGCCCAACAAAGAUACUCCCCACACUCACUAAGAUCACCAAUGACCUCCUUGCCACCAAAUCCUUCCUUUGCUCAUUUUCUUUUUCUUUCUUUCUUUCUUUCUUUUCUUUCCUUCUUUCUUUCUUUCUUUCCUUCUCUCUCCUUCUUUCUCUCCUUCUUUCUCU
rnacentral:lncRNA from 10 species